rnacentral:rRNA from 1 species
AUGGCUCCACGACUAAGUCCUUUCACAAGGACAUCUGACGUGAUAAUUCCACGACAGUUGGCGCCCACCGUGGGGCUAUCGCAUGAUGGUGUCGAGUUCUUGAAGGGCUGCUCUGAAGGACUUAAGGGAUACGUGAUCGGACGGAUGACCAAAAGAAGUCGCGGCAAACUCUACAUCGACGACAAAGGAUGGGGCCCCGAAGCCGGCUCAAUCGAGUACGGGUACCGGGUUCCCUUCGGCGGAAUUCAUGUCUUCAUUGGCAAGAUCGGUGAACCGGGCCCUGAGCCGGACACCUGCACCGACCUCGUCGAGACGGCUCAGCGUGCGAGUCCAGCUAGGGUUACGCCAGCCAUGAAGCGUGCGUUCGUAGGAUGUGUCCAUGGGAUCGGAUCUGAACCGGUGUCUGAGGACGAGAUGGCGGUAUACUCCGACGGCGAAUCAUCCACUGGUGAAACUGAGUCCUUGUAUCAGAUUCAGGACGGCAUGCCCGAGGGGUACUCCGAUGGCAAUAGUAUUCCGGAUCUCCUUGAAGCACCGAGCCGGGUUGCUAUUUACAUGGCCGGCACACAGCCCGUUUCGCAGUCUUCAUCUACCGCGGCAAUAGAUACCGGAUCAGCAGCCGGGGCAGGUAUUUUGGCGCGCCGGCCGGCGCAGGUUCUCGCCGGUUUAAUGGAUUCUUGGGAGGCCUUGUUAACUGCAACAGUUACCCCGGAAACACGAAAUCAGCAUGAUGCAGAGGUUGCAAGACUGAAAGAGCAAAUUGCGCAGGCUAAGGAGAACUUGGUGGCCGAAGAUAAUAGGAUGGCCGAGGAACAGGCCGCUUUGAAUGCUCAAUCACAGCAGAUACAAGCACAGAAUUACUGA